GGCAGCGCGUUGCGAUCCCAGAUUGCUCCCGCUGUAAGGAUUGGAUCCACGGCUCCACACGCCUUGCUGCUAGGAUGAGCUUGGAGAAGAUGAUAACUUCAGGGUUGCAGUCGAGGCCUCGUGCCUCUGACUGGAAUCUGCGCUCCAGCAGAGGUUUUGCUCCUCCAACAUCACGAAACGUCCACCCAGGAGAGGGAGCUGGAGCCUGUUCCAGCACGCAGAGGGCGCAAGGACACACCCUGGGCGGGAUGCCAGCCCAUCGAAGGGCACACUGACACACACACACACACACACACACACCAGGGCCAAUUUUCUCAGAUGCCAGUGAACUUCCCUACUGUGGGAGGGAACCCACACAGACAUUGGGAGACCAUACAAACCCCAUCCACUCCACAGCAUCCCUGGUCCAGUAUUGAACCCAGGACCACUGGGCCGCCGUGUUGCCCCACAUCACAAGACAGCUUCCAUGAAUGACCUGUUUGGGUGUUGAGUGAAAGUGGACAGCAGGGUGGUCUAAGGUGAGGUCCCGUCCUGUCCGCUCCGCUGCAGAGGUUUAAUACAGCCAGCAUUACUGUUCUACUGCUGAUUAACGGUGAAAUAAUGCAGGGCUGGGAUGCUGCCGCCGGUGGUUGGCUCUGCUGUGUUUGGGAGAAGGCGGGCAGGUCCUGCCCAGCUCUGUUUCCGUCGCUCCUCUGCAACUUUAAGCAGCUCGGCGGGUUCUGUCCCCUUUAACUCUCUGUGAAGCCCGGCUCUUCCUGCUGCCGCGUGCUGGGUAGGGCCGACUUGUGGACCAUGCCCUUACUGUACGCUGCGGGUGUGCAGUGGGUACUGAACUUUCUCUUAACCUGCUCAGAGGAUUUUGUGGGAUUCUGUGUGCCGAAGUUAACUUGUGUAACCACGCGAUGACGUCGCGAAAGCGUCUGCACCGGUAGAGAAAAAUAAAGUGGAAACAAAAACGUGUUUUGUGAAAUAUUAAAAUUACAGUGGACAAAUGCCAAAGCUAUCUUUUGUGUUGGUUUACUUAUGAACAUUGUCAAGACAGAGUAAAAGUGAUAGUCGAAAUAUAGUUACAAUAAGAUUGUAGCCUUAACUGUGGAGAAUGCUUGCCUUUAGUCUAUACAAUGUAAAACAUUUACAUUAUUGAAGGUGUUACAUUAACCUUAAGUAAACAACAAAUAUUUUGUAUGGUACUUAUUUAUAUUGUCUCGUUUUGCAAGCUAUAUAUUUUGUAUUACCGUUCUUUGUAAAUACUUCCAGCGGCGUUGGAAGUGAGGUUCAGUGCUGUGUUUGUGAAAUAAAAUCUAUUCCAGUGA